UACAGAGGGGGCAAGCGUUGUUCGGAAUUACUGGGCGUAAAGCGCGCGUAGGCGGUUCGUUAAGUGGGAUGUGAAAUCCCCGGGCUUAACCUGGGAAUUGCAUUUCAAACUGGCCGACUAGAGUACGGUAGAGGGAGGUAGAAUUUCCUGUGUAGCGGUGAAAUGCGUAGAUAUAGGAAGGAAUACCAGUGGCGAAGGCGGCCUCCUGGAUCGAUACUGACGCUGAGGCGCGAAAGCGUGGGGAGCAAACAGG
rnacentral:rRNA from 1 species